rnacentral:tRNA from 1 species
GCGAAUGUAGUUUAAUGGUAGAACUUCUGCCUUCCAAGCAGAGAGUGAGGGUUCGAUUCCCUUCAUUCGCUCCA